GAGCGUAUAGCUCAGUGGUAGAGUGAACCCACAAGGUCCUGGGUUCAAUCCCCAGUAUCUCCA
rnacentral:tRNA from 1 species